rnacentral:piRNA from 1 species
ACUAAAAUAAUUAGAUCUGCUGCCAGGUUUUGCC